rnacentral:rRNA from 1 species
GACGAACGCUGGCGGCGUGCUUAACACAUGCAAGUCGAACGGAAAGGCCCUGCUUUUGUGGGGUGCUCGAGUGGCGAACGGGUGAGUAACACGUGAGUAACCUGCCCUUGACUUUGGGAUAACUUCAGGAAACUGGGGCUAAUACCGGAUAGGAGCUCCUGCUGCAUGGUGGGGGUUGGAAAGUUUCGGCGGUUGGGGAUGGACUCGCGGCUUAUCAGCUUGUUGGUGGGUAGUGGCUUACCAAGGCUUUGACGGGUAGCCGGCCUGAGAGGGUGACCGGCCACAUUGGGACUGAGAUACGGCCCAGACUCCUACGGGAGGCAGCAGUGGGGAAUAUUGCACAAUGGGCGGAAGCCUGAUGCAGCAACGCCGCGUGCGGGAUGACGGCCUUCGGGUUGUAAACCGCUUCCGCCUGUGACGAAGCGUGAGUGACGGUAAUGGGUAAAGAAGCACCGGCUAACUACGUG